UACGAAGGGGGCUAGCGUUGCUCGGAAUUACUGGGCGUAAAGGGAGCGUAGGCGGACUGUUUAGUCAGAGGUGAAAGCCCAGGGCUCAACCUUGGAAUUGCCUUUGAUACUGGCAGUCUUGAGUACGGAAGAGGUAUGUGGAACUCCGAGUGUAGAGGUGAAAUUCGUAGAUAUUCGGAAGAACACCAGUGGCGAAGGCGACAUACUGGUCCGUUACUGACGCUGAGGCUCGAAAGCGUGGGGAGCAAACAGGAUUAGAUACCCUGGUAGUCCACGCCGUAAACGAUGAGUGCUAGUUGUCGGCAUGCAUGCAUGUCGGUGACGCAGCUAACGCAUUAAGCACUCCGCCUGGGGAGUACGGUCGCAAGAUUAAA
rnacentral:rRNA from 1 species